UUGAUGCGAGUCGGCAAAUGGAGUCGGAUAUCUGGUCUAGUAGGUAGGUUGUGUUUUUAGUCGGAGGGAUCCCUAAUCCACUAUAUUAGCAUCAGGCCGGGGCCCCUACUAUUGGAGACAGUAAUUAAUCUCAAGUUGUCAACACGAAUUAAUUAAGCAACGUGCGUGCGUAUGGCGGCGGCGUUUCGAUCAGCGGCGACGAGGCUCGCUGCGUUCCGGCGACCCCAGACGGCCGGGAGGAUCUUCUCACCGGCGGUCCAGGAGGAGCAACGGCUUAUCCUUGGCUCUCCGCCGCCACCGCCGGUUAGCACUCUGUCUUCCCGCCGGUUCUGCUCCUCCGCUCCAGUCCAAGAACAACCCUGCAACACCAAUAAUACCACUCCUAAUAACAAGAAUUGGACAAGAUCUCGAGCAGCGUAUAACUAAUAUUGAAGAGAAGAAAAAAGAGCUGUUCCACAUGCUAGCUCAGCUGGACACUGACUACCCGUCAAGUUCAAAGUAUUAUGGUUUUUCAAAAAGUUCUGAGUAUUAUCGGGAUUGCAGGAGGCUGAUCUACUUGCUUGUUGAACAGCUCCGUUACCAUGAUACAGAAAUGCAUGACCCUCUAUGGCCCAUGUAUGAAAGAAGAAAAAUACUCAUGGUUCGCUUGAAGUUUGGUGCAGCCAUAUUAUAUUUCAUUAGUAUUUUGGUAUAUGCGUUUAAUAGCUGAAAGCAGGAAGGGUGGCAUUUUAACUGACACGGGAAGCAAAAUAAUAGUUAUUGACAGGGGUGGAUAGAGAGCUCGUGGCUCGUUAGCUCGUUCGACUCGUGACAAACUCGG